GCUUGGUGGAUCAGUGGCGAACGGGUGAGUAACACGUGAGCAACCUGCCCUGGACUCUGGGAUAAGCGCUGGAAACGGCGUCUAAUACUGGAUAUGAGCCUCUUCCGCAUGGUGGGGGUUGGAAAGAUUUUUUGGUCUGGGAUGGGCUCGCGGCCUAUCAGCUUGUUGGUGAGGUAAUGGCUCACCAAGGCGUCGACGGGUAGCCGGCCUGAGAGGGUGACCGGCCACACUGGGACUGAGACACGGCCCAGACUCCUACGGGAGGCAGCAGUGGGGAAUAUUGCACAAUGGGCGGAAGCCUGAUGCAGCAACGCCGCGUGAGGGAUGACGGCCUUCGGGUUGUAAACCUCUUUUAGCAGGGAAGAAGCGAAAGUGACGGUACCUGCAGAAAAAGCGCCGGCUAACUACGUGCCAGCAGCCGCGGUAAUACGUAGGGCGCAAGCGUUAUCCGGAAUUAUUGGGCGUAAAGAGCUCGUAGGCGGUUUGUCGCGUCUGCUGUGAAAUCCCGAGGCUCAACCUCGGGCCUGCAGUGGGUACGGGCAGACUAGAGUGCGGUAGGGGAGAUUGGAAUUCCUGGUGUAGCGGUGGAAUGCGCAGAUAUCAGGAGGAACACCGAUGGCGAAGGCAGAUCUCUGGGCCGUAACUGACGCUGAGGAGCGAAAGGGUGGGGAGCAAACAGGCUUAGAUACCCUGGUAGUCCACCCCGUAAACGUUGGGAACUAGUUGUGGGGACCAUUCCACGGUUUCCGUGACGCAGCUAACGCAUUAAGUUCCCCGCCUGGGGAGUACGGCCGCAAGGCU
rnacentral:rRNA from 1 species